CAGCCGCCGCGGGAAUACGUAUGGUGCAAGCGUUAAUCGGAAUUACUGGGCGUAAAGCGUGCGCAGGCGGUUAUAUAAGACAGAUGUGAAAUCCCCGGGCUCAACCUGGGAACUGCAUUUGUGACUGUAUAGCUAGAGUACGGCAGAGGGGGAUGGAAUUCCGCGUGUAGCAGUGAAAUGCGUAGAUAUGCGGAGGAACACCGAUGGCGAAGGCAAUCCCCUGGGCCUGUACUGACGCUCAUGCACGAAAGCGUGGGGAGCAAACAGGAUUAGAUACCCGCGUAGUCCCUGUCUCUUAUAC
rnacentral:rRNA from 1 species